GACGAACGCUGGCGGCGUGCUUAACACAUGCAAGUCGAACGGAAAGGCCCUGCUUUUGUUGGGUGCUCGAGUGGCGAACGGGUGAGUAACACGUGAGUAACCUGCCCUUGACUUUGGGAUAACUUCAGGAAACUGGGGCUAAUACCGGAUAGGAGCUCCUGCUGCAUGGUGGGGGUUGGAAAGUUUCGGCGGUUGGGGAUGGACUCGCGGCUUAUCAGCUUGUUGGUGGGGUAGUGGCUUACCAAGGCUUUGACGGGUAGCCGGCCUGGGAGGGUGACCGGCCACAUUGGGACUGGGAUACGGCCCAGACGCCUACGGGAGGCAGCAGGGGGGAAUAUUGCACAAUGGGCGGAAGCCUGAUGCAGCAACGCCGCGUGCGGGAUGACGGCCUUCGGGUAGUAAACCGCUUUCGCCUGUGACGAAGCGUGAGUGACGGUAAUGGGUAAAGAAGCACCGGCUAACUACGU
rnacentral:rRNA from 1 species